rnacentral:rRNA from 1 species
GCCUACGGGGCGCAGCAGGCGCGAAAACUUUACAAUGCUGGAAACAGCGAUAGGGGGACCUUGAGUGCCAGGAUACAAUUCUGGCUGUCGUAAUGCCUAAAAAGCAUUGCAUAGCAAGGGCCGGGCAAGACCGGUGCCAGCCGCCGCGGUAACACCGGCGGCUCGAGUGGUAACCGCUAUUAUUGGGUCUAAAGGGUCUGUAGCCGGCUGAAAAAGUCUCUUGGGAAAUCUGGCUGCUCAACAGUCAGGCUGUCAGGAGAUACUUUUUAGCUCGGGACCGGGAGAGGUGAGAGGUACUUCAUGGGUAGGGGUGAAAUCUUGUAAUCCUUGAAGGACCACCAGUGGCGAAGGCGUCUCACCAGAACGGAUCCGACGGCAAGGGACGAAAGCUAGGGGCACGAACCGGAUUAGAUACCCGGGUAGUCCU